UCCCACAGACUAUUUUAGUGCAGUGUGAGUGGAAGGAAGACCUUCAUCCUGGAGGAUGCUCUGCUUGGCCUGGAUGCUGCCCAGCAGAAGCCCCAGCAAGACUGUUUUCAGCAGGAAUUCCCCAGGUUUGAUGACAUCAUUCUGCUCGCUGUCCCAGUACUGAGUGUCCUCCAAGCCUCACUUUUCCCCCUGCGGUCAGGCAGAGAAUGGUGGCGUCACCCUAGAGCGAGGAUUUGCAGGAUUCCUCUGCUUGCUCUUCACAGUUCCUGAAGGAUUUUGUUAGUUCUCCAUUACUUUUGUUACCUGAGACCCAUCUUUUCAUCCUGUUCCUCCUCUUCCUUGACGACCUGGGAUGUUUCCACACUGAGACAAAGAGGAAGAGACACAUCUAAGCAAUUCUCUACAGAUAGUCUCACUCAUCUCUGUCCUGAGUUCUCCUUGUGACAAGUCCAAAAGCUUG
ensembl:processed_transcript 1500017E21Rik RIKEN cDNA 1500017E21 gene